GGAGACCUAUACUAUGAUUGUGUUGUUUAUCCAUGAUUUUACAUUAAAUGGCUUAUGAUAAAUGUGGGUAUGACUGGUUAUUUUUAUAAUUUAAAGAAUAUGUGAACUGCUUUGAUUUGCCUUGAAUGUGUUAAGUGAGUCAUGUCAUACUAUUAUGAUUUUAUUGGUUGGUGGAUUAUAAAGUGGGCACUGCAGUGACGGGGGUUUCGUGGGCCAGCCUAAUUAGAGGGGCACGGUUCUCAAUUAUUGAGCUUACCUCGAUUGGAGAGGCG
rnacentral:lncRNA from 1 species